rnacentral:lncRNA from 1 species
UGUUUCACGACCAGCAUGUUGUAGAUGGUAGGGAACUGGGCUUAUUUGGCUGAAUCGAUCUGCAAGCGGCUUGUGUGUCGGGAUCUGAUUCUGGAAAACUGCCCUGCCAAGAUAAAGGACAAAUUGAUCCUGAGAGGAGAGAAAUGACACGGAUAACUUAGAAUCUGUCACUCAUCUAGAUAUGGAAACAUUAUGGGACAAAAUGCUCGAGCUAUUAACGAGGAAGUACGAAUCAGGUUCACUGGCAACCCAUGGAUGUUUCAAAAGUCAAUUUCAAAGCAGAGAUGAUUUUAAGGUAUCCGACAAAGCUGCCAGAUAUGUUUAAGUGAAUUGUGUCAUUGAGACAAACACACAGUAUUUAUAGAACAAGAAUAGUUUCGUAACAGGAUUCGUGAAAUAUGCUUCACGCAAAACAUGAAAAAGUUACAACUCCGGCUAUUAUGAAAAUAAUAAUUUUAUUCAAGUAUUGUUUCAUAUUGCUUAUAGUACAAUUUGACCUACACAACACAAUAGAGGAGAUCCAUUUUUGAAUUCUUUUUGCACAUGAUUGGUUAUAAUUUAAAUAUCUUCAUAACAAGGGUCGUUUCUUUCAUUUUCCUACAGCUCAGAAGAAUUUUUCAUUCUACAUGUAAUAUUCACUGAUGCUAUGCAAUCAUAUGAAUUAAAUUUGUCACUCUUCCAAGUAAGGUUGUCCAAAUUCACCGUGGCACAGAUAAUGACAAAGCUUUGUGCACUUCUUUCUGUAAGGCACAUAGGCAAUGUGGAUCCUAAGAUAUCGAAGGUUUUCAACCUUCACCGAAAGCUUGGCUACCAUAAGCAUCACUCACAAUGAUAUCAAACCACUUAGGAUCCAGCCUGUGAUAAAUGUUAUGGUAUGAGAUCGUUCAGAGUAAGAAUAGGUGGCGAAUUGUCAGCACAGACUUUUCGACCUCUUAAUUUCAAUUUCAGUGCAACCUAGAACCAUGCAAAUGUCGGCCAAUCCUCCCAAACAUUCAGACAGGUUUCUAGAGACUGUCUUUAUUUAGCCAAGAUAUGGCAUAUUUCAAACAGCCACUCAAUAUGUCCAGAGUACGAAAUAUCAUUUGUUUACAAUCGCACAGUGUACCACAUUUAAAUGAUACUGCGAGAAAUUCGUAACACAAGUUGGGCUUCAAUUUCACGUACGUCAUCAGAACCUGUAGCUUCGAGUUUAAUUGUCCACAAAAUACAUCUUCAGGGUCGGCAAUGUUUAGUAUUUCUAAAAUUAUUUAGAGUAGAUAGUUUCGAGAUUCCUGUCAGUGUAGCCAAAUGAGCAUCGCUCGUAU